AACGAACGCUGGCGGCAGGCUUAACACAUGCAAGUCGAACGCUCGUAGCAAUACGGGAGUGGCGGACGGGUGAGUAACGCGUGGGAACGUGCCCUGAGGUACGGAAUAACUGAGGGAAACUUCAGCUAAUACCGUAUGAGCCCCGAGAGGGGGAAAGAUUUAUCGCCUUGGGAGCGGCCCGCGUCGGAUUAGCUAGUUGGUGGGGUAACGGCCUACCAAGGCUUCGAUCCGUAGCUGGUCUGAGAGGACGAUCAGCCACACUGGGACUGAGACACGGCCCAGACUCCUACGGGAGGCAGCAGUGGGGAAUCUUGCGCAAUGGGGGCAACCCUGACGCAGCCAUGCCGCGUGAACGAUGAAGGCCUUAGGGUUGUAAAGCUCUUUUACCCGUGACGAUGAUGACGGUAACGGGGGAAUAAGCUCCGGCUAACUUCGUGCCAGCAGCCGCGGUAAU
rnacentral:rRNA from 1 species